rnacentral:rRNA from 1 species
UACGAAGGGGGCUAGCGUUGCUCGGAAUCACUGGGCGUAAAGGGUGCGUAGGCGGGUCUUUAAGUCAGGGGUGAAAUCCUGGAGCUCAACUCCAGAACUGCCUUUGAUACUGAAGAUCUUGAGUUCGGGAGAGGUGAGUGGAACUGCGAGUGUAGAGGUGAAAUUCGUAGAUAUUCGCAAGAACACCAGUGGUGAAGGCGGCUCACUGGCCCGAUACUGACGCUGAGGCACGAGAGCGUGGGGAGCAAACAGG